rnacentral:lncRNA from 1 species
AUUCACGUCCGGGGUGGGCCUUCCCCUCAGUCUGCAGCCUACCUGUCCAUCACCUUGACACACCCCCGCGAUGCUUUCCUGGUAGCUUAGGCUCUUAGUCAUGCAUCUUUUUCUUGGUACCAGGAACUGAACUCAGGGCCUUGCACUUUCAGGCAUUUCAGCGGCUGAGCUGUAUUCCCGGCCCAAGCUACAUGCCCAGCCCGCUCUUCUCUGUUUGAAGUACCGAAGUUAAUGAUCACAGAGUGGGAAGAACGGGAGGAAGUGCUCUCCUCCAGGCUCAGCUUCCAGGACACAGCCCCGAAGCCGCCGUGUGUCCCCAGGCUCUGUGUGUGCCUCUCCGCAAUCCCGUCCCUGCAGCCCUGGCCCCAGGCAGCUCAGGACCACAG